UACGGAGGGGGCAAGCGUUAUUCGGAAUCAUUGGGCGUAAAGGGCGCGUAGGCGGCCAGGUAGGUCUGCUGUGAAAACUCGAGGCUCAACCUCGAGACGUCGGCGGAAACCAUCUGGCUAGAGUCCGGAAGAGGAGAGUGGAAUUCCUGGUGUAGCGGUGAAAUGCGCAGAUAUCAGGAAGAACACCCGUGGCGAAGGCGGCUCACUGGCCCGGUACUGACGCUGAGGUGCGAAAGCGUGGGGAGCAAACAGG
rnacentral:rRNA from 1 species